UACAGAGGUGGCAAGCGUUGUUCGGAAUUACUGGGCGUAAAGGGCGCGUAGGCGGCCUUCUAAGUCAGACGUGAAAUCCCCCGGCUUAACCUGGGAACUGCGUCUGAUACUGGGAGGCUUGAGUAUGGGAGAGGGAUGUAGAAUUCCAGGUGUAGCGGUGAAAUGCGCAGAUAUCAGGAAGAACACCCGUGGCGAAGGCGGCUCUCUGGGACGGUACUGACGCUGAGACGCGAAAGCGUGGGGAGCGAACAGG
rnacentral:rRNA from 1 species